rnacentral:rRNA from 1 species
GAUGAACGCUGGCGGCGUGCCUAAUACAUGCAAGUCGAGCGAACGGACGAGAAGCUUGCUUUUCUGAUGUUAGCGGCGGACGGGUGAGUAACACGUGGAUAACCUACCUAUAAGACUGGGAUAACUUCGGGAAACCGGAGCUAAUACCGGAUAAUAUUUUGAACCGCAUGGUUCAAAAGUGAAAGACGGUCUUGCUGUCACUUAUAGAUGGAUCCGCGCUGCAUUAGCUAGUUGGUAAGGUAACGGCUUACCAAGGCAACGAUGCAUAGCCGACCUGAGAGGGUGAUCGGCCACACUGGAACUGAGACACGGUCCAGACUCCUACGGGAGGCAGCAGUAGGGAAUCUUCCGCAAUGGGCGAAAGCCUGACGGAGCAACGCCGCGUGAGUGAUGAAGGUCUUCGGAUCGUAAAACUCUGUUAUUAGGGAAGAACAUAUGUGUAAGUAACUGUGCACAUCUUGACGGUACCUAAUCAGAAAGCCACGGCUAACUACGUGCCAGCAGCCGCGGUAAUACGUAGGUGGCAAGCGUUAUCCGGAAUUAUUGGGCGUAAAGCGCGCGUAGGCGGUUUUUUAAGUCUGAUGUGAAAGCCCACGGCUCAACCGUGGAGGGUCAUUGGAAACUGGAAAACUUGAGUGCAGAAGAGGAAAGUGGAAUUCCAUGUGUAGCGGUGAAAUGCGCAGAGAUGUGGAGGAACACCAGUGGCGAAGGCGACUUUCUGGUCUGUAACUGACGCUGAUGUGCGAAAGCGUGGGGAUCAAACAGGAUUAGAUACCCUGGUAGUCCACGCCGUAAACGAUGAGUGCUAAGUGUUAGGGGGUUUCCGCCCCUUAGUGCUGCAGCUAACGCAUUAAGCACUCCGCCUGGGGAGUACGACCGCAAGGUUGAAACUCAAAGGAAUUGACGGGGGCCCGCACAAGCGGUGGAGCAUGCGGUUUAAUUCGAAGCAACGCGAAGAACCUUACCAAAUCUUGACAUCCUUUGACAACUCUAGAGAUAGAGCCUUCCCCUUCGGGGGACAAAGUGACAGGUGGUGCAUGGUUGUCGUCAGCUCGUGUCGUGAGAUGUUGGGUUAAGUCCCGCAACGAGCGCAACCCUUAAGCUUAGUUGCCAUCAUUAAGUUGGGCACUCUAAGUUGACUGCCGGUGACAAACCGGAGGAAGGUGGGGAUGACGUCAAAUCAUCAUGCCCCUUAUGAUUUGGGCUACACACGUGCUACAAUGGACAAUACAAAGGGCAGCGAAACCGCGAGGUCAAGCAAAUCCCAUAAAGUUGUUCUCAGUUCGGAUUGUAGUCUGCAACUCGACUACAUGAAGCUGGAAUCGCUAGUAAUCGUAGAUCAGCAUGCUACGGUGAAUACGUUCCCGGGUCU